rnacentral:rRNA from 1 species
AGAGUUUGAUCCUGGCUCAGAAUGAACGUUGGCGGCGUGGAUUAGGCAUGCAAGUCGAGCGAGAAGUUUCUCUUCGGAGAAAUGGACAGCGGCAAACGGGGUAGUUAUGCGUAGGUGACGUGCCCCAAGGACCGGGAUAGCUGCGGGAAACUGCAGGUAAUACUGGAUGAUCUCUCCGGAUAUGAUGAUUUGGAGAGCAAAUGGUGUGAUUCCUCCUUGGGAGCGGCUUACGUGGUACUAGCUAGUUGGUGAGGUAAUGGCUCACCAAGGCUCAGAUGCCUAGGGGGUGUGAGAGCAUGGCCCCCACCACUGGGACUGAGACACUGCCCAGACACCUACGGGUGGCUGCAGUCGAGAAUCUUCGGCAAUGGGCGAAAGCCUGACCGAGCGACGCCGCGUGCGGGAUGAAGGCCCUUGGGUUGUAAACCGCUGUCAGAGGGGAUGAAAUGCUGGAGGGUUAUCCCUCCAGUUUGACAGAGCCUCAGAGGAAGCACGGGCUAAGUACGUGCCAGCAGCCGCGGUAACACGUACUGUGCAAACGUUAUUCGGAAUCACUGGGCUUAAAGGGUGCGUAGGCGGCCGACUAAGUAGGGUGUGAAAUACCUCGACUCAACCGAGGAACUGCGCUCUAAACUGGUCGGCUUGAGUGAGAUAGGGGUGUGCGGAACUUCCAGUGGAGCGGUGAAAUGUGUUGAUAUU